GAUGAACGCUGGCGGCGUGCUUAACACAUGCAAGUCGAACGGAAAGGCCGAAGCUUGCUUCGGUACUCGAGUGGCGAACGGGUGAGUAACACGUGGGUGAUCUGCCCUGUACUUCGGGAUAAGCUUGGGAAACUGGGUCUAAUACCGGAUAUGACGAUCUCUUGGAUGGGGUUGUGGAAAGCUUUUGCGGUAUGGGAUGAGCUCGCGGCCUAUCAGCUUGUUGGUGGGGUAAUGGCCUACCAAGGCGUCGACGGGUAGCCGGCCUGAGAGGGUGGACGGCCACAUUGGGACUGAGAUACGGCCCAGACUCCUACGGGAGGCAGCAGUGGGGAAUAUUGCACAAUGGGCGCAAGCCUGAUGCAGCGACGCCGCGUGGGGGAUGACGGCCUUCGGGUUGUAAACUCCUUUCGCAAUCGACGAAGCCUUUUGGUGACGGUAGGUUGAGAAGAAGCACCGGCUAACUACGUG
rnacentral:rRNA from 1 species